UUUAGGAAUAUCUCUUAUAGUAAGGUAUAUUUUAAUUUAUUCCUGCUUUACCUACUUGCGUAUAUAGGUUUAUAGGAUUGAUCACCUUUUCUCUUUUUUUUCCUUCCUUCCAGGGCAGCAUUUAAUAACCCUGGAUGCAGACUGGAAUCCCCUUUCAAAAAUCAACUUAAUGCCCAGUGAAUCAUGGAAUACUACAUCAAAAACUAAUGAUGUAAUGUAUGGUGACUAACAUAACAUAAUAAAAAAAAAAAAAUCAACUUAAUGCCUAAACUUUACCCCAGAAUCUCAGGGGAGGAGAGUGGUAUCAGUAUUUUUUAAAAGAGUCUGGUAUGUAGUCAGAAUUGAAAACCCUAGUGUCAUACUAUUUCUAUUCCUGCAGUGUAUUCCUUUAAAUUCUCAUCCAUCAUAUUAAAUUUAUAGUCUUUUAUCAGACAGACUGAAACAGUUGUAGCAGUCAAGGUAAAAUCAGAGUGAUAAAGUAUAAGGGACUUACUGUGGGGAUUUAACCUUACACAGCUGUGAUUGCAGGUGGAAAAAUCUGCUGCCCUGCAUCUGGUGUUGGGCCUGAAGUCAUAAAUAAGUUUGCCAGAUCCACAGCUGGGAAGAAAAGCUGAACAAGAACAGGAGCAGGAGCAAACCGGAAACUGCUAGAAAACAGACACAGAGCUUGCAUCUGUCUCUCAUCACUCUGCCUUAGAUGACUCAGAUGAUGCCUGCAGGUGUAACCGGCUCUCUUGGCUACAGAACUGCACGUAUCUUUGGCUCAGGACUCAGAGAAGUUGGAGGACAUGUGGCAGGACCUGGAGGAGCCAUGGGCUGGGUGCUGCCCCACGCCAGCAAGGUGAACCAGGAGAUAGCAAUGUGCAUGAGAUGGAAAAAGUAAAGCUGUUUCCUUAUCUGCAAAGGAAGAACUCUAAACCCAGAAUGAACCAUCUUAUUCUUAGAUGCACAGUGUUUGAUACACUCCAAGGAUUCAGCGUUUGUUGAACUGAAUCGAGAUAAAAUGCAGUUCAAAUUUCAUGAAAGUCUUUAUAGAGUGUCAAUUUUAUACAAGGUGCAUUUUGAAGAUUAUAUUUGGCUUCUAUUUUUACUUUUUUUUUACAGUGAUAAAGGGUAAAGGCAAAAGAUUUAUCAUCCUUUAUUCCCCAGAUCACUAGAUUGAAGUAAAUAGCAGUUGUCAGUAAUUAACAGCAGUAAACCUGAUGUCAACAUUUCUCAAGACUAAGCUCCACAAAGCCGUUGAAAGGAAGAGAUAUUAACAUCAACUGGUAAGUAUUCAUGAGGUACCUACUGCCUGUUUAAAAAUAUUUUAUAAACUGUAGGACAGUUUACAGGUGUGAAAUAGUUUCAUUACUUUGGUGACUACUAACUAGUACUACUACCCUUAUUAUAUGGCUCCGUGUGAGUCUUAUGAAAGUACACAAAUAAAUGUGUUUGGAAAUAAAAGUCUAGUUAAAUAGGAUGUAGGUAAAGCAUAUCAGAUAAAGUUCACUAGAACACAAUUUUAACAGUGUUAGUUUUAUGAACUUGCUGUCACAAUUAACAGGAGGAACCAGGGGCCUCUCUUAAGAGGGAGUAGUAGGGAAGGACAUUUUAAAAGGUAGAGUUUGGAAUAGUUCUAAAGAGGAACCAGGGGGAGUGGGGAUCACCUCUGGAUUGAUUAUCACAGUAAUCUUUGCUUAGGAAGUGAGAGAGCAAAGCAGGUCUGGGGAAGUUCUGGUGAGAAAGCCCAAUUAAAAAAAAAAAAUAUAUAUAUAUAUAAAUAUAUAAUAUUAAAAACCAUGUCAGUGCUCACAAUAGCCUAAGGGUGGAAGCAACCCAAGUGUCCAUCAACUGACGACUGGAUCAACAAGAUGCCAUGUGCCAUAUAUAUAUAAUGAAAUAUCAGUCAGCCUUAAAAAGGAAGAUAAUUAUGAUGCACACUGUAACACGGAUGAAAUUUGAGGACAUUGUGCUAAGUGAAAUAAGCCAGACAUAAAAGGACAAAUAUUGUGUGAUUCCACCUAUAUGAGAUACUUCGUGUAGUCAAAUUCAGUGAGACAGAAAGUAGAAUGGUGUUUGCCAAGGGC